GGACCUGGAAGAGGGCAGGCGUGAGCAACCAUGGCCGGGCAGCACCUCCUGGUACCCCGGCUGGAGGGCGUUUCUCGGGAGCAGUUCAUGCAGCACCUCUACCCACAGAACUUUACCUUUUGACCAAUUGGUCCAGAGGGCAGCUGAAGAGAAGCAUAAAGAAUUCUUUGUUUCAGAGGAUGAGAAAUACUACUUACGGUCACUUGGAGAAGACCCUAGAAAGGAUGUUGCAGAUAUCAGAAAGCAGUUUCCUUUGUUGAAAGGAGAUAUUAAGUUUCCAGAAUUCUUCAAAGAGGAACAAUUCUUUUCCAGUGUUUUUCGAAUUAGUUCACCAGGAUUACAACUAUGGACUCAUUAUGAUGUAAUGGAUAAUUUGUUAAUACAAGUGACAGGAAAAAAGCGUGUUGUACUCUUCAGUCCUCGAGAUGCCCAGUAUUUAUAUUUAAAAGGUACUAAAUCAGAAGUACUGAAUAUAGAUAACCCAGACUUGGCUAAAUAUCCACUUUUUUCCAAGGCUAGAAGAUAUGAAUGUUCCCUUGAAGCUGGUGAUGUAUUAUUCAUUCCUGCUUUAUGGUUCCAUAAUGUAAUUUCUGAAGAGUUUGGAGUGGGAGUGAAUAUCUUUUGGAAGCACCUUCCAUCUGAAUGCUAUGAUAAAACAGAUACCUAUGGAAACAAAGAUCCUACAGCAGCAUCAAGAGCUGCACAAAUUCUGGACAGAGCCUUGAAAACACUGGCUGAAUUACCAGAGGAAUAUAGGGACUUCUAUGCACGACGAAUGGUCCUACACAUUCAAGACAAAGCCUACAGCAAGAACUCUGAGUAAAUAAUGAAGUGAAUGCCAUGCACAUCAACCCUUUAGUAAGGUAUAACGAUAUAAAUUAAAGAUUUUGUUAAAAUAGGAAAGAUACAUCAGAUUUACAGAUUAUGUAAGUACGAAGGGGUGUUUUUGUGGAUUCUACUUGAUACAGAUUGUUAUAAUUAAAGAAUGAUGUGCUGGGACCACUCUUUAACACUCAGAUGCUGACCGCUAAAAGUCCAACUUAAAAUGACUUAAAAACAGUAAGAAAAUAUGAAAUCUAUUGACAGAAUGGGCUGCAGUGUUUCUGAUCCAGUGAUUCAGUAAUGUCAUCAAGAACCUUGGGAGCACGCCUCCACACCCCACCCCCUUUUCAACCACAACAUUGGCAUCAUCCUAAGGCUGGCUACCCUCGUGGUCAUGGGAUGAUUGCCAGUAGCAGUUGGAGCCUUGUGCAUCUUCAUUUACAUGCAGCGGAAGAGUCAGGCUGGAUUCUAGGGGCCCCGUCCUAAUAUGAGGAAGCCUUCCCAGAAUUCACUUGCCAUAUCCUUAGGUCUCAUUGCUCUAAAGUAACUUAGACCUGUCCAUCCCUGAGCCAGUCACUGGCAAAGGGUCUAGAAUAACCUUUAGGGCAGUCAGGUCCGCUGGAGCUGAGAGUAGAAGUCGAGGCCACAUGAGGGAUAUAUGGGGACAGAAAGGAUAGUUUUAAAUCAUGGUUCUGAUAGGAAAAACAUGAGCAACCCACAGUAUCUAUUACAUUUGCCUAGAAGCAGAAUUUUUUGAGGAACUUUAAAAAAUGUACAGAUACCUAGGUCCCAACUUUGUAGACUGAUUCAAGAGUGUUUGGGAUUUGGUAUAUGAACUUAAUAGACCUCACAGGGUGUUUUGAUGCAUAAUCAGAGCUGAGAUCAACUGGAGUUGAUGAUAGUGACUUGGAUUAUUAGUUUUGUGAUUAGUCCAAAACAAAUGUUUAAUCUGAUCUUGACUUUUCUUGCCACCCAGUGUGUCAGGUCUAUCCUUUUUUUUUGUUUUUGAAUGUUAGAAAAUAAAUGUUUUAAUUUAUACCUAUGUCUAAACCUUAGCCUAGUUAAAGAUUUCCCAACUUUUUUUUCUACCGAUCCCUUUUUUAAAAGAAAAAUUACUUAAAGAAUGAAUAAAUGAGAUCCUAAAAGUGUUGUCAUUGAAGACAGUGAGCCAUUGUGUGUGGAUCUCUGCUUUUCUUUGUUUUGUACCUAGUAAUUAUAUUGCAGUGUCAUUGAAGACCAGAUAAUCUUCGCUGAACAUAAAUGUGUUCAUCUAAAGCAAUCUCUUAGUAUAUCAAUUUGGUGCAUUUUAAUUAGAGAAAAUCAUUUUCUCUAUCGAAGAGAAUCCAUUCACUCAUGUCCUAUAAAUUAUAGUAAAUAAGGAAAAGCAUAUAUAUAACAUUCUGAAUUUCCUAGGUGUCUUUGGAAACAGGUAAGUUACUCAGGUGAAUAAAGGUGAAAAAAGUCUUGUCAGAAAAGGAAUGAUUAUAUUAGCCAAAUUUAAUUACCAGAUUUUGAUCUUCAUUAAGCAAAGCAAAGAACUUCUUUACUGAUUCCUUGUCCUUCAGUAAGGAAAAAGACAAAACUAUCCUUAGUUUACACAAUAUUUAUGGUCAGUUUUUAAUAAAUCUUGUUUUUUUCUUAACCAGCAAGAGAAUUGAUACAAAGUAUAAAUCCAGAGUCAUGUAGAAAACUUGGAAGUAUUAAUAGAAUAGAUUACAGUUUGUGCACUG
rnacentral:sRNA from 1 species